UUGCCCGAUGAUUAUAAAAAGACGCGAAAGAGGACUUGGAAGCUGGACUUCUUUUUCUCUUUUCUACUCUUUAACUUCUCUUUUCUCUACCUUUUUAUCUGUUUCUUUUUCUCUCUUUGGAUGUCCAGUGUCCUAUGAGCGAAGAUUAUGAGAUAUGAGGGCAA
rnacentral:snoRNA from 1 species